rnacentral:rRNA from 1 species
CCUACGGGAGGCAGCAGUGAGGAAUAUAGGUCAAUGGGCGCGAGCCUGAACCAGCCAAGUAGCGUGAAGGAUGACUGCCCUACGGGUUGUAAACUUCUUUUAUAAAGGAAUAAAGUGAGGCACGUGUGCCUGUUUGUAUGGACUUUAUGAAUAAGGGUGGGCUAACUCCGUGCCAGAAGCCGCGGUAAUACGGAGGAUCCGAGCGUUAUCAGGAUUUAUUGGGUGUAAAGGGAGCGUAGAUGGGUUGUUAAGUCAGUUGUGAAAGUUUGCGGUUCAACCGGGAAAUUGCAAUUGAUACUGGCAGCCUUGAGUGCAGUUGAGGUAGGCGGAAUUCGUGGUGUAGCGGUGAAAUGCUUAGAUAUCACGAAGAACUCCGAUUGCGAAGGCAGCUUACUAAACUGCCACUGACAUUGAUGCUCGAAAGUGUGGGUAUCAAACAGGAUUAGAUACCCCUGUAGUC